ensembl:lncRNA
UGUGCCUCCUCAGGUGCUGACCUGUGAGGGAGGAAGGAGCUCGGGCUGCAGACCCUCCUGGGCCUCCGUGUCUCAGGCUGCGUAAGGACAUCAUCAUGAUCAUGACAGGGGAACAAACAAUGGCAGACUGUAUGCCAGUCGUAUCCUACCUGCCUCUCCCCGGAACGCAGAAAGUGCAAGGGUUAGUCGCUCAGUUGUGUCCGACUCUGUGACCCCAUGGAUUGUAGCCCGCCAGGCUCCUCUAUCCAUGAAAUUCUCUAAGAAUACUGGAGAGGGUUGCUACUCCCUUCUCCAGGUGAUCUUCCUAAUCCAGGGAUCAAACCCAGGUCUCUUGCAUUGCAGGCAGAUUCUUUACUGCCCAAGUCACCAGGAUGAAGCCCUCAGAGGCCCAGAGACCUCGCCAUCUCCUACUAUGCAGGCUGUGCUACACUGUGACCCCCCCACCUGUUACCUCUGCUGGGAGUACCAGGCUUUCAGGCUCCCGACUCAUCCUCCAAGGCACAACUUUCCUGACCGCUGCAAACAGACUCAAUCCCCCCUCAUCUGCCCCCACCCCUGGCCCGCCUCUAUUGCAUCACGUGGAGUUGCCUGUUUUCCUCCACACUGGAAACUUCCUGAGGGCAGGGCUUGGGCUCUGUUCUCCUCUGUAGCCACUAGGCUCAAGGACUCAACAAAUGUUUGCUGAACAAAUUAAUUUGUUUUCACUUAACGAGCUCAUUAGGGCUCUAGCUUCCUCCUAAUUACGAAGCAGGAAGUUUCCUUUUUUUCCAUAACGAUCCAUCUUUGGGGAAUGAUGGCAGAACUUCAACUUCGGCAAGAAGAAGGCAAUCAAACUAGACCCCUGGCACACGUUUGCAUUUGAAAGAAAGAAAACAUGCAGGCUCAGUGAGGUACAGUUUAAACAAAACACGUGUAUAUUAAAAGCUUCACAUUAAAUAUACAUUAUCAUACAGUUCAUCACACAGAAUUAGAUCUUUACAGGACACUUUCAGCAGGAGGGGGUGGUCACAAGGCUCCUGGCAGUGACACAACAGCCCCGAGGAGAAGGGGAGAGACUGGGGGCUGUCCAUGCCCAGGGGGUGCCUGAGUGUGUCUCUGUGGGGUUCUGGAAGGUUCUCCUGCAUCUGGGCUCUGGGUUGUGCUCGUUCCAUUGGACAACUUGCCCCAUUUGUCUCUGUCAGUAAUCGCUGGUGGAAGGUAAAAGACGUGGCAGCUUGCCGGAUGAUCAUCUGAUCCCGCCAGGACCCUUCACGGGCAUCGAUGGGCCGCUCUAAUCGCCAGCCUGCCCUCUCUGCCCGUUUCUGCAGGCACUGUCCUUGGGGUCUGUGAGAGCACAUGGGAAGCCUGGCUGUCUGUCCCUGCUGGGCCCUUGAUCAAGUGACAUCAACUGCUGCCCUGAGCGUGUAUUGGAGAGCUGAUCAGAGCUCGGUGUUCUGAAUCUUAAAAAGGCAAUCUCCGGGGCCUGUGACUGCAGAAGCAGAGCAUCCACCAAGGGCUCCACCUGUUGUUCCCAGGGCCCUGCUGGAAGUUACGUCAAGAUGGCCCUCUGCCUGCCCACCAGAGCUGCUCUGGGAGGGGAGGCACAGCUCAGCUGGGAUUGGCCCAGCCUUCAGAAGAGGGGCCUUUUCACCUCUUUCUUUAGAAGCGCUGCUCUGUGAGCCUGUAUCCUGACAGGCAGGUGGGCCCUCUCUCCCCACAAAGCCUCCUUUCUUUCUGGGCCGCCAUCUUGUUCUGGAGGGGCUGCCCAAAAGGCCUUGACUCCUUGGUGCUCAAGGACAUUACUGCUGAAGUGGUUGGGGCAUUAUGGUCAAUAAUGAAGCCAGCAAUGGAGGGAAAGAAAAGGGAAAAAAACCCCAACAGUCCUGUGGCUCUGAGCAACGCAGCCUGUUAGGGGUUGGAGGCUGUGCUCUGAGACAAAAUGCUGAGGCGGGAUAUUGUGUGGCAGGGAGCUUUUUUUUCCCUCUAAGAAAUCCAGCUCAUUUUCCCCCUCAUUAAUUGGCAGCAGAUGAAAAAAAAAAAAAAAAGCCAAAACAAAACCCAAACCAACGCCAAUAACCUGAAUGUGAGUGUUUCUGAAAGGGAAAAGCUGUUUCAAUUGUUAGAUGUCCAAGAAAACAUGAAUACACGCCGCCAGAGGAAAUGGUCACAAUUAGAG